CCAGACUCUGGGAUAACCCCGGGAAACCGGGAGCUAAUACCGGAUAUGACACCAAUCCGCAUGGGUAUGGUGUGAAAGGUUUUUCGGUCUGGGAUGGACUCGCGGCCUAUCAGCUUGUUGGUGAGUAGUGGCUCACCAAGGCGACGACGGGUAGCCGGCCUGAGAGGGGACCGGCCACACUGGGACUGAGACACGGCCCAGACUCCUACGGGAGGCAGCAGUGGGGAAUAUUGCACAAUGGGCGGAAGCCUGAUUGCAGCGACGCCGCGUGAGGGAUGACGGCCUUCGGGUGUAAACCUCUUUCAGCAGGGAAGAAGCGCAAGUGACGGUACCUGCAGAAGAAGCACCGGCUAACUACGUGCCAGCAGCCGCGGUAAUACGUAGGGUGCGAGCGUUGUCCGGAAUUAUUGGGCGUAAAGAGCUUGUAGGUGGUUUGUCGCGUCUGCUGUGAAAAUCCGAGGCUCACACCUCGGACUUGCAGUGGGUACGGGCAGACUAGAGUGUGGUAGGGGAGACUGGAAUUCCUGGUGUAGCGGUGGAAUGCGCAGAUAUCAGGAGGAACCCGAUGGCGAAGGCAGGUCUCUGGGCCAUUACUGACACUGAGAAGCGAAAGCAUGGGGAGCGAACAGGAUUAGAUACCCUGGUAGUCCAUGCCGUAAACGUUGGGAACUAGGGUGGGUCUCUUCCACGAGAUCCGUGCCGCAGCUAACGCAUUAAGUUCCCCGCCUGGGGAGUACGGCCGCAAGGCUAACAACUCAAAGGAAUUGACGGGGGCCCGCACAAGCGGCGGAGCAUGCGGAUUAAUUCGAUGCAACGCAAGAACCUUACCAAGGCUUUGACAUACACCGGAAUCACUCAGAGAUGGGUGCGUCUUCGGACUGGUGUACAGGUGGUGCAUGGUUGUCGUCAGCUCGUGUCGUGAGAUGUUGGGUUAAGUCCCGCAACGAGCGCAACCCUCGUUCUAUUUGCCAGCACGUCGUGGUGGGACUCAUAGGAGACUGCCGGGGUCAACUCGGAGGAAGGUGGGGAUGACGUCAAAUCAUCAUGCCCCUUAUGUCUUGGGCUUCACGCAUGCUACAAUGGCCGGUACAAAGGGCUGCGAUACCGCGAGGUGGAGCGAAUCCCAAAAAACCGGUCUCAGUUCGGAUUGGGGUCUGCAACUCGACCCCAUGAAGUCGGAGUCGCUAGUAAUCGCAG
rnacentral:rRNA from 1 species